CCUACGGGAGGCAGCAGUUAGGAAUAUUGGGCAAUGGAGGAAACUCUGACCCAGCAACGCCGCGUGAAGGAAGAAGGUUUUCGGAUUGUAAACUUCUGUUCUGUGGAAAGAAAACAAUGACGGUACCACAGGAGAAAGCCACGGCUAACUACGUGCCAGCAGCCGCGGUAAUACGUAGGUGGCGAGCGUUGUCCGGAAUAACUGGGCGUAAAGGGAGCGUAGGUGGUCUAUUAAGUUAAAUGUGAAAGCCCAGGGCUCAACCCUGGAAUUGCAUUUAAUACUGGUAGACUAGAGUGCAGGAGGGGUAAAUGGAAUUUCUAGUGUAGCGGUGAAAUGCGUAGAUAUUAGGAAGAACACCAGAGGCGAAGGCGGUUUACUGGACUGCAACUGACACUGAGGCUCGAAAGCGUGGGGAGCAAACAGGAUUAGAUA
rnacentral:rRNA from 1 species